GACGGAGGAUGCAAGCGUUAUCCGGAAUUAUUGGGCGUAAAGCGUCCGUAGGCGGUUUCAAAAGUCUGUUGUUAAAGCCCACAGCUCAACUGUGGAUCGGCAAUGGAAACUGUGAGACUAGAGAGUGGUAGGGGUAGAGGGAAUUCCUAGUGUAGCGGUGAAAUGCGUAGAUAUUAGGACGAACACCAGUGGCGAAGGCGGCCAACUGGACGAAUACUGACGC
rnacentral:rRNA from 1 species